UGGGGAAUUUUGGACAAUGGGCGCAAGCCUGAUCCAGCCAUGCCGCGUGCGGGAAGAAGGCCUUCGGGUUGUAAACCGCUUUUGUCAGGGAAGAAAUCUUCUGAGUUAAUACCUCGGGAGGAUGACGGUACCUGAAGAAUAAGCACCGGCUAACUACGUGCCAGCAGCCGCGGUAAUACGUAGGGUGCAAGCGUUAAUCGGAAUUACUGGGCGUAAAGCGUGCGCAGGCGGUUUUGUAAGACAGAGGUGAAAUCCCCGGGCUCAACCUGGGAACUGCCUUUGUGACUGCAAGGCUUGAGUGCGGCAGAGGGGGAUGGAAUUCCGCGUGUAGCAGUGAAAUGCGUAGAUAUGCGGAGGAACACCGAUGGCGAAGGCAAUCCCCUGGGCCUGCACUGACGCUCAUGCACGAAAGCGUGGGGAGCAAACAGGAUUAGAUACCCUGGUAGUCCACGCCCUAAACGAUGUCAACUGGUUGUUGGGAAGGUUCCUUCUCAGUAACGUAGCUAACGCGUGAAGUUGACCGCCUGGGGAGUACGGCCGCAAGGUUGAAAC
rnacentral:rRNA from 1 species